UACAAAUCAAUCACAUUUAUUGAUUCAAAAACCAUAAGCAACAAAUGACUCUGAAAAAAAUUAAAUGUAAACUAUUGGGGGUGAUUUUGUGGUCCUUACCUAGCAAGUGGAACUGACAUAGGUCUUGGAUUCUGGCCUGGGAACCCGAGGUGAGCCCUGGCCCUGGGUCUGCUCACAGGAUGGGUGUUUCUGUGCCAACACCAUGCCCCGCAUGAAGCCGCUCAAGAAGCACAGGCCCUCCACUGCUCCACUGCCUGCGACAGCCUUAGAUAUCCCUGGGACCUUCCUAAUAAAGGGGGGUGUCCUGGCCCCGACUCAUCAGGCCCGCCUCUGACAGGCUGCCCGCUUGGACAGCUAAAUUUCCAGUUAUCUCUAAUGGAUGAUUAUGGCAUCCUGUUAAUCAGCUUUCCACACCUGUAACAAAAUACCUGAAAUAAUCAGUUUAUAAAGAGCAAGGGUUCUUUUGGCUUACAGCUGUGGAGGGCCCAGUCCAUAAUGGAUUGGCCCUGGGGCGAGAAGCAUCAUGGUGGGGCACGUGGUAGAGAAAAACUGCCUCACCUCACAGGAGCCCGGGAGUAGAGAGGAUGGGCCAGCGUCCCACAACCCUCUGCCAGGUCACAGUGGCCGCACAGUGAGGUCGCACCUCUUAAAGGCUCUACCACCCCUGAAUAGCACCACCUGGCCGCAAGCCUUUAACACGUGGGUACUGAGGGAGAGCGGAGAUCCGAACUGUGGCAGACAGCCUGUGAUGUCUUCCAGGAGGCUUCUCCUGGAGGGGAGAUUCCGCAGCAAAAAUGCCAAAACACUGCGUUCCCACAGCAGCUCUGUCGGGGUCCCCCCUGGGGCUCGGGGUGGAGCUGGCAGGGAGAUGAAGGAGCCUCGUGGCAGCGAACGUGCAAACCCCUGACUUGGAGCGCUGGGAAGACCUCAUCCAACCGCUGUUCCGGGUAAUUUUUCUUCUUCUAUGCGGUAAGUCCAGGGAGCCCCAAGACUGUUAGAACCCCGCAUCAUUUUUCUCCAAAGGACAUUUCGGCCCUAGAGGAAUGGAUGCUUCCGUGUUCCUAAGGAUGCUUUCUAGUCACCGGGUGAAGGUAGAAGGCUGCAUCUUUCCCAAGUGAACCUGUGUCCCAACUCAUUGAUCUUUGAAAGCACCCUUUAACACUCCACCCUGACUUUCUAAAAGCACUGCCGUGCUGUUACUUUUCCCUCAGAUUUAUAAACAGCAUUCAUGGCAAACGUUUCCUUCCCUAGCAGAAUUUAUGCCUGCACCAGGGGACUGUGUUGCUACAGGCUGACCUGUGUGGGAUACGCACACGACCAUUACCAUUUUAAUAGUAAGGACCGAGCUGGACACGGUGAUUGUGCCCCUGUAAUCCCAGCGACUCCGGGAGCUGAAGAAAGAGUGUUGCAAGUUUGAAGCCAGCACGGGCAACUCAAGGAAACGCUGCCUCCAAAGAAAAAGGGCUCGGUCCUAGGUUCAAUCUCCCAGUCCUACCAAAAAGAAAGAAAGAAAGAAUUCUUUACUUAAAGACAGUUAUGCGAACCAGUAUCAAAGAAAACUUCAUUUCCAAAGGUCUUGAUUACUGAAUAAAUGCGAAGAAAUAGUCAUUCAUCUUUCAAGGAGUCCUGAUAGGGUGUCACUCCAUGGCAGAGCUCUCCACUUGGGGUGGAAGGAAGGACAAGACACGCAGCAAUUCCUGCCCCUGGAACCUAUGUUUCGCUUGCUUGAUUGUUUGGUGCUGGGUCGGGAAGCCAGGACAUACUGGGCCAGCUCUCCACCCCCAAGCGGCACUCGUGGCCCUGUUUUCCUAAUCCAGUGGCAGAAGCCAGGUAACAAGCACUCGGGGAGGCCGUGUUCCGCGGUGAGUGCUGUGGAGCUGUGCAGAAACACACAGCAGGGGCGGCGGGGUGGCGGCUGCCGGGACGGCGUCCGGAGAGUGUGACCCUGGACGCAGGACCCGGCAGUGUGCGUCAUCUGCGCACAUCUGUGCAAGGAACCUCUGGACGAUGGGUGGCGGCAGUAGGAGGGAAAGCGGGGCCAAAGUUGGGGCAGAGGGAACUCGGAGGGAGAAGGGCGCAGGUAGACUGUCCGGCGCCCUGAGGGCCACGGCAUAAAGAUGACUUUCUCAAGCAAAAUGGGCAGCAGUCGGAGGUGUCCUCGCACAGAAGCCGCACAGUCUGUUAGCACCACAGUGACUGCACUGGCUGCCAUGCUGAGAACAGACUGGCCGCGAGAGGACCGGAAACCAAAGCCAGGGCAGUUGGGCGAUGUCUGCAAUAACCCGAGACGGGUCACAGCGGCCUGCAUCCUCCUGGCGGAGAGCAGUAGAUAAAACCUGGGCGUGUUCAGAAAAUAGGCUCCACAGGAUUUGCUGAGAUUGAACGUGUGUGUGAAAGGAAAAGAGAGUCAAAGAGGGUGCUAGAUUUGGAAGCUGAGUGAUGGUAUUAGUUUGGGCUCUGAUGAUUUAGGAGGCUGGAAGUCAAGCACCAAGGUUCCAGGAGGAUCUACUUCCACAGAGGACCUUCUGAUUUGCAAACAGCCAGCCUUUUGCUGUGUCCGCGCAUGGUAGAAAGACAGCUCUAGUGUCCCUUCCUGUUUUAUGAGGACAUUAUUUCUAUCAGAUCAAAGCUCCUCCCAGUGCCUCCUUCACCCUCUUUAAAGGCCCUGUCUCCAGUACAGUCAUGUGCUGGGGGGAGCUGCAUCGUAGGAUUUCAACACAGAAAGUUUUUGAAAGAAGCCAUACUUCAGCCACAGCAGCAAUAAAAGAUGGAGAUAUCCCUUCUGCAGUGAGAAGUAGUGUAAAAAGUGAGUUUUGGGGGAAAGAGCAAGGGUUCCAUAUUGGUCAUGUCAGGCUUGAAAUGCAUGGGGCACACAGCAUCUCUGCAGCCAAAUAAAGACAACGUGAAAGGAAUUAGGGGUGAGCUAUUAUGCUGAGAGUUACAGAGAGGUCAAGAAAGAGGAAGACUGAGCUGGGGACUUAGCUCAGUGGUUCCAGUGCCUGCCUUGCAAAUGCAAGGGCCCAAGUUCGAUCCCUGGUACAAAAAAGAAAAAAAAAAAAAAAAAAAAAAAAAAAAAAAAAAAAAGAGGAAGACUGAGAACAGAGUCUCUUUCUUUCUUUUUUUUUUUAGAACAGAGUCUCAGAUUGCAAGAGCCUACAUUCUGUCUCUGGGACAGCAUGGUUGAGAUAAUCAUCUUAUAAAGAGGAAAGUUUUGGACUGGGGAUUUAGCUCAGCGGUUCGGUGACCUGCCUUGAAAGCGCAAAGACCUGAGUUCAAUCCCCGGUACCAAAAAAAAAAAAAGAGGAAAGUUUUAUUUUGGCUUAUUGUUUCAAAGUUUUAAGUCCAUGUUUGCUUGGCCCCAUUGCCUUUGGGCCUGCGACAGAAGCAGAGAAAAAUGGUGGGGAGCAAGCGGAGGAAGAAGAGAGAAGUGGGAAGCAGAGUGUCUCGAGACAGGAAGGGGCCAGGGUCCAAUACCCCAUUUAAGGGCAUGUCCCAGUGACCCAACUUCCUCCCAGUAGGCCACACCUCCUAAAGGUCCUACCACCUCCCUGUAGUGCCACAGGCUGGCAACCAAGCCUUUAACACAUGAGGCUUGGAGAGAUAUUUAAGAUCCAAACUACAGCACACAAGCCAGG
rnacentral:lncRNA from 1 species